GCGGGCAUUUUGAUCCACUUCAUCUCGGAAAGCUCUUAUUCGGAGAAUAAAAGCGUGCAGAAUAACAGCUAAUAUUAAUGGAUCAUUCUAUUCAAGAGAAAGUCAACUGGAACUUGGAUGUUUUCAUAACUGGCUUAAAGAUGAACAAAUUGAUAAAGAAACCCUCCUGCUGGACAUCCAAUUCCAAAAGUGCACACCACACUGUUUUCUACAACUCCCAGGAAAAGAAUCCUCUUCAGUAAGACUGCUCCGUGGAUAUUUUAGGUUAAGCAGUGCUGAAACCGAAAGAACUAACACUAUUUAAAAUGUUUUGUGAGUUUAUAUGAAGAGGAAAGUUACGGUGUCCCUUUUUCACAUCCAUAACGCUUGUUGAUUUCUUUUUUUAUAGAAAACUUGUGCAUAGACUUAUAUUUUAACAUAUA